UGGGGAAUUUUGGACAAUGGGCGAAAGCCUGAUCCAGCAAUGCCGCGUGUGUGAAGAAGGCCUUCGGGUUGUAAAGCACUUUUGUCCGGAAAGAAAUCCUUGGCUCUAAUACAGUCGGGGGAUGACGGUACCGGAAGAAUAAGCACCGGCUAACUACGUGCCAGCAGCCGCGGUAAUACGUAGGGUGCAAGCGUUAAUCGGAAUUACUGGGCGUAAAGCGUGCGCAGGCGGUUUGCUAAGACCGAUGUGAAAAUCCCCGGGCUAACCUGGGAACUGCAUUGGUGACUGGCAGGGCUAGAGUAUGGCAGGAGGGGGGUAGAAUUCCACGUGUAGCAGUGAAAUGCGUAGAGAUGUGGAGGAAUACCGAUGGCGAAGGCAGCCCCCUGGGCAAUACUGACGCUCAUGCACGAAAGCGUGGGGAGCAAACAGGAUUAGAUACCCUGGUAGUCCACGCCCUAAACGAUGUCAACUAGUUGUUGGGGAUUCAUUUCCUUAGUAACGUAGCUAACGCGUGAAGUUGACCGCCU
rnacentral:rRNA from 1 species